UCUGAUUCAAAAUAAGCUUUUUACCUGAUGUUACAGUUGAAAAUUUUCAAUAUUACUUUUCCCUAAGUAUCUCUAGAACCACGUUGACACCUAAACUCAUGAUACAAGUUGAGACACCUAAACUCAUUAUACAAGUUGAGUACAUGGUGGUAAAUUACCACCACAGACAUAAGACAUUGCAUGCUCUAAGGAGCAAUUUACAUAAGAUUACUAUAAAAAAGGGUUAUGUUAGGGUGCUCACACUAUGGAGUAAUUUAUCAUUCUACUCAAUAAUUUUUGAUACUUUUAUACCCUUGUUUUGUACAUGGAGCAUUUUUAUAAUAAAAGUAUUUUUGGUCAUUAAGAGGGGUGUGAUUUCAUCCACAUGGGGUAUGGCAUCACCCACAUGGAGCAUUAAAUACCACUAGUGUGCUCUAUGUGGGUGAUGUCACACCCUAUAUAGAUGAUGCCACAUCCCUC
rnacentral:lncRNA from 1 species